UCAUCAAGAUGUUGUCGGUC
rnacentral:miRNA from 1 species